ensembl:lncRNA
CUUUGGUUCAGGCGGGAAGAGGGUGGGCGGCCCUUCUUGGCCGUGGGGGGUUUCCUCAUCGACCGCUUUCCUAUGGGCAGCGGCUUCUGCUCCGGAGAGAGGGGGGUGGGGGCCUCCUCCUCCUCCUCCUCCUCCUGCUGCGACCUCUUCCUCAUGUGCAGGACGGGGCCCUCCACCUCCUUGAUGCUCUCGAUGGGCAGCUUGGCCUUCACAGCUUUCCAGACAGUUCAGACAGGGGUCCUCAAAGCCUUGGAGGCCAUUUCGUGAAUUUCCUGGAAGUCUGCUCGCUCCAAGGCAAGCUGCUCCAGGGCUGCCGGGUCUUCUCCGAAGGCUCAGUAGCUGAUCCAGUUCAUCUCCCGGAGGGCGGUGGGCAGGCGCAGCAUCUCCUGGUUGAACAUGGUGCUUAUAUUCCCCUGCAGGUUCUUGAAGUCCGCCCUGAGUUACUCGAUGCGGCUUUGAACUUCUUGGUCAAAGGCCUUGAGGAACGCAUCGCUAUGUUUGUCCCUGAAGGACAUCUAUCUUGCUUGAUGCCUUUGACCUUUUCUUCUUUGAAGGAGCCAUUGUUGGAAGGCGAGUCAGAAAGAUCUAUUCCUGUGAUUUCAAGGAUCCAAUUAGCAAAAGGAGGACCAUUCACAAACAAGCUUGGUUGGAAAUGGCUAUAUUUGCUUUUAUCUCUACAGAAAAGAAAAUCUUACUGCCGUUUUCCCAGUCACCUCUUCAUUUUAUCCCCAUGCACCCCACCCCCCCUUCUCAGCUUUCCACUUUCCAAAAGUUCCACAACUUGGUCUCCAGUGCCAGCUGCUGGCCCCAGGAUGUCAUGGAGAGAAUUUAUGAUGUCUCCGGGACAUCAGAAAUUGAUACCUGACAGGAUUCCUCCCCUAAAAAAAAACGAACACCGGCAGCAUCGACCUUGACAAGGAUUUGUAGGGUAAUUUCCAUGAAAACCCUGAAUCAACUUGGAUGCCCAAACAUCUGCUGCCCUCACCCAUUCAAAGUCAUUGAUAGGUCGCCACUUCACUUCAAUAACUUGGAGUAUAGUUGUGCCUGUCUUAGUCUUUGUAAUACUUGUUUCAUUAAUGCGAUGUGUUCUUCCAGUAUUGUGAAUAAAUUAAUGUGUCAUUCAAGUAAACCAAAAUUCCCUUUACAACUGUGUAGGACUUCAUUUAUCAUCUGCAUGAACACUCGAGAAGCCCCAGUCAAACCAAAUGGUAACACGUUGUACUGGAAAGCCCCCAGUGGACAGUUACAUGCCAUCUUCCAUUCAUCUCCUUUUCUUAUUCUAACCUGAAAAUAGGCCUCUCUUAAAUCCAAUUUCGUAAUACAUUUCCCUUUGAUAAAUGUCCCAACAUAUCUUUCACUAGAGGCUAGGAUACUGAUUUGAAAGACAUAUGGUCUGUAACAUUGGUACAAAAUCUCAAAGUGCCAUGUCUCCAGAAUGUAGAAAUUGAUUCCUGACAUUUACACAUUUUUUCUGUUUUAACUUAGAGUGUAAACUGCAGAAUACAAAUCAAAUUAUCAAAUAAAUAAAUAUUGGUUAGACAACUUUUCCUUGACAAAAUAGAGACAUCAGAGCCAAGCAUAACCCAAAUAUAACGGAACAGUUUGUAACAGGAAAGAAGAGGAAUGCUUGUGCGGAUGUAUCCUUUAGUCUUUAAAACUUUGCAAGAAAGCUAUUACUGGGUUGCUGUGAGUUUUCUGGGCUGUAGGGUCAUGUUUCAGAAGCAUUCUCUCCUGAUGUUUCGCCCACAUCAAUGGCAGGCAUCCUGAGGUGUGAGGUCUU